CAGCAGCCGCGGUAAUACAGAGGGUGCGAGCGUUAAUCGGAUUUACUGGGCGUAAAGCGUGCGUAGGCGGCUUCUUAAGUCGGAUGUGAAAUCCCUAAGCUUAACUUAGGAAUUGCAUUCGAUACUGGGAAGCUAGAGUAUGGGAGAGGAUGGUAGAAUUCCAGGUGUAGCGGUGAAAUGCGUAAAGAUCUGGAUGAAUACCGAUGGCGAAGGCAGCCAUCUGGCCUAAUACUGACGCUGAGGUACGAAAGCAUGGGGAGCAAACAGGAUUAGAUACCCGCGUAGUCCCUGUCUCUUAUAC
rnacentral:rRNA from 1 species